AGAGUUUGAUCCUGGCUCAGGACGAACGCUGGCGGCGUGCUUAACACAUGCAAGUCGAGCGGAAAGGCCCCUUCGGGGGUACUCGAGCGGCGAACGGGUGAGUAACACGUGAGCAACCUGCCCUCGACUCUGGGAUAAGCCUGGGAAACCGGGUCUAAUACCGGAUACGACCUGCCUCCGCAUGGGGGUGGGUGGAAAGGUGCCUCGUUUGGGGUUUCCGGUCGGGGAUGGGCUCGCGGCCUAUCAGCUUGUUGGUGGGGUAACGGCCUACCAAGGCGACGACGGGUAGCCGGCCUGAGAGGGCGACCGGCCACACUGGGACUGAGACACGGCCCAGACUCCUACGGGAGGCAGCAGUGGGGAAUAUUGCGCAAUGGGCGGAAGCCUGACGCAGCGACGCCGCGUGGGGGAUGAAGGCCUUCGGGUUGUAAACCUCUUUCGGCAGGGACGAAGGUGACGUGUACCUGCGGAAGAAGCGCCGGCUAACUACGUGCACAGCA
rnacentral:rRNA from 1 species